UUACGGCCAUACCAGCCUGACCCCCGAUCUCGUCCGAUCUCAGAAGCCAAGCAAGGUCGGGCCUGGUCAGUACCUGGAUGGGAGACUGCCUGGGAAUCCCAGGUGCUGUAAGCCUUUU
rnacentral:rRNA from 1 species